CCCCUUUCAAUGUCGCACCUGGAGAGUUUCCAGGACUCUACCAGUCUCAACUAUGGGAGGGAGAGUCAAGCAGAGACAUAUCUAUUCCAUUCCUAGCUUGGGUGGUAGCUAGUGAGUGGAAUGCAAUCUGCUACAAGU
rnacentral:snoRNA from 2 species